GAUCAUUACUGAGUGGCUUGGUUUCGUGAGGGACCGGUUACCCGACCUUUUGUCAUUUGCACUGGGAGGGGGGAAGGGGGACGUUGAAAGACGGACUCUGGACCUGACCAGAAACGAUAUUUCGGCGGAAGUGGUAGGCGUUUUGUUCUUAGUUUUUUCUAGGACAGGAACGACCUGCCCGCCGCCGGCGGUAUUUCCAACUCUUUGCGAGAAGAUGAAGUCUGCGACGUACGAGAGAGAGUACGGCUAUACAAACGAAAGAAAAAAAAAGCAAAACUUUCAACAACGGAUCUCUUGGCUCUGGCAACGAUGAAGAACGCAGCGAAACGCGAAAGGUAAUGCGAAUUGCAGAAUCAGUGAGUCAUCGAAUUUUUGAACGCACAUUGCGCCUCUCGGUAUUCCGGGAGGCACGCCUGUUCGAGCGCCAUUACAAACUCCAAGCUGUGGCUUGAUGUUGGGCGACGUUUUUUCUUUUUCCUUUUUUGGAGAAAAGACGCGCCUAGAAGGUGUGGGCGGCCUCGGCCGGACCGUGAGCGUAGCAAGACGAGAACGUCACCCGCUCGUACGGAUCUGGUGGAGGGUUGGCCUUUUUGUUUUGUUGUCUGAAGGACGUUCGUCUGGAAGAUAACGAAGACGGCAACAGUUUGGCCUCGGAUCAGGCGGGGAUACCCGCUGA
rnacentral:misc_RNA from 1 species